UCAGUCACACGUAGUCAACAUGCCAAUGGACGUGGAUAACCUCGGGAAACUGAGGAUAAACCGGAUAAGCCAUGAUUUCUGGACAUGAUUCAUGGUUAAAAUCUAUAUGGCCAUUGGAUUGGACUGCGUCCGAUCAGGCUGUUGGUGAGGUAAUGGCCCACCAAACCUGUAACCGGUACGGGCUCUGAGAGGAGGAGCCCGGAGAUGGGCACUGAGACAAGGGCCCAGGCCCUAUGGGGCGCAGCAGGCAGCGAAACCUCUGCAAUAGGCGAAAGCUUGACAGGGUUCAUUCUGAGUGAUCUCCGAUAAGGAGAUCUUUUGGCAUCUCUAAAAAUGAUGCAGAAUAAGGGGUGGGCCAAGUCUGGUGCCAGC
rnacentral:rRNA from 1 species